CCGAGUUAGGGUCUUCUAGGCCCGACCUCCCAACCCUUUGUUUACCAAACCUAUGUUGCUUCGGCGGGCCCGUCUUUAUUGACCGCCGGAGGACUGUCCGUUAUAGGCGUCCUCUGGCCCGUGCUCGUCGAUGGCCCAACCCCUAAAACUCUGUAUAAAUCGUGUCAUGAUUGUCUGAGUACAGUGAUUUGAAUAUAAAUAA
rnacentral:misc_RNA from 1 species